rnacentral:lncRNA from 1 species
CCUCAAGCAUUCAGUCAUUAAUUCAUCAUUCUUCUUCUGCACGUCUUUAUUCUCUUCUCCUCUUUAAAAUAUUUCUCCAUAUUAUUAAGCCUUUUUAAGGCCUUGGAAUCGCAAUAAAGAAUCACGUUUUCAGCAAUUUUAUUUUUCACGUUCAUCUUCAAAAGGUGAGAUACUCAGUGCUAUUAGUGGUUUGUCCACAUCUUUUCAAAUACGUUGUUAUGUAUGGAUUUAAUUACUCCAGUUCAGAGCUCCUUUGGGAGAAAUCAUGAUACAGUUUAAGGCACAAUUUAGCCUUCACGUUAUUUGCAGCGCUUGCUUGAAUUAUCAUUUGUCAUGGUGUGAUAAUUCUCAUGUUAUGUUGGUAAGAGAAUUUAUGCAUAAUUUCACGUUUGAUUUGAAUGUGGAGUAGCAAGUAUCUCAUUGAGUAUAAUUCGUUAUACUCAUCCCUCUCUAUUUAAAAUUUUCAGGUAGAAAUUAGUAUGCUGGACGGCGGUGGAUGGAUGCAUAUUGGACCAAUGGAUCUCCAUCAUGAAGUACUUUAAUUUUUAAAAACACUAGAAUAUUUAUUAACAGUUGAUUAUUAUUAUUUUUAAAUUUAGACUCAAUUGUGAGUCACGUCAUAACUUUCAAUUAGUCCUAUUUUUAUUAUUUGUUAGAACUACUUUUAUUAAUGUUUGAUAAAAGAUAUGAUUCCAAAUUGUUCCGCAUAUGUUAUUUAAUUUAAUUUACCUUUUGUUAAGGUUGUUCAAUUUUUACUGAAUUCCUCGUUAUAUUAAAAUGUAUUUGCCUCAAGCACUUUAUUAAUCAAUUCACGUUUGGUAACGUUCCGGGUUGCUAAAGAAUUCGGGGCGUUACAGCAAGAGUCUUGAUGAGCGUGUGGAACAUCUAAAAUGUGUGCUUGCGAUUUUAAGAAAGGAACAACUUUUUGCCAAUUUUAAAAAGUAUACAUUUUGCAUGGAUAGGUUGUAUUCUUAAGCUUUUUGGUUAGUGUUAAUGGUGUAGAGGUAGAUGAAGAGAAAAUAAAAGCUAUUAAGGAUUGGCCAACACCUAAGAACAUAACCGAGGUUCGAAGUUUUCAUGGAUUGACUAGUUUUUAUAGGCGUUUUGUUAGAGAUUUUAGCACAAUUACCACACCCUUAACUGAAAUUGUCAAGAAAAAUAUAGGAUUUCAUUGGGAGUUAGAGCAAGAACAUGCAUUCAACACUAUCAAAGAUUGUUUGUGUAAAGCACCAAUUUUAGCACUUCCUAACUUUGACAAAACUUUCAAGAUUGAGCAUGAUGCAUCAGGAAUAGAUAUAGGAGCAAUCUUAAUGCAGGAUAAGAGACCUAUAGCAUACUUUAGUGAAAAGCUAAGUGGUGCGGCUCACAAUUAUCCUACAUACGACAAGGAACUCUAUUCACUUAUUCGAGCUUUGGAAACAUGGCAGCAUUACCUAUGGCCGAAAGAGUUUGUAAUUCAUUUAGAUCAUGAAUCACUGAAACAUUUGCGGGGUCAAGGUAAGUUGAACAAACGACAUGCACACUGGAUGGAAUUCAUCGAAACUUUUUUCAUAUGUCAUCCGUUACAAACAAGAUAAGGAAAAUGUAGUAGCAGAUGCAUUGUCAUGCAGGUAUGUGCUUCUAACUACUUUAGAUGCAAAAUUGCUUGGUUUUGAGUAUAUUAAGGAUAUGUAUGUUACUGAUUCUAAUUUUUUCGACAUUUACAAUUCAUGUGACAAUGGGGCUAUAGAUAAGUUCUUUAAGCAUGAGAGAUACGUAUUUCGGGAGAGUAAAUUAUGCUUUCCUAAUUGCUCUAUGCAUGAACUAUUGGUUAGAGAAGCAUAUAGUGGGGGACUUAUAGGUCACUUUAGGGUAGUAAAAACUUUAGAGAUAUUGACUGAAUAUUUCUAUUGGCCUAAAAUGAAAGUUGAUGCAGGAAGGGUUUGUAGUCGAUGCAUAAAAUUUAGAUAGGGCAAAUCUAGGGUCUUAUCUCAUGGACUGUAUACACCUUUGUCAGUACCUAGUGAAUCCUGGGUAGAUAUUUCAAUGGACCUUGUGUUAGAUUUGCCUAGGACUAAAAAGGGGCAAGAUUCAAUUUUUGUAGUGGUGGAUAGGUUUAGUAAAAUGACACAUUUUAUUCCAUGUCACAAAACUGAUGAUGCCACUAACAUUGAAGAUUUGUUCUUUAAAGAAAUUGUGCACUUGCAUGGGGUACCUAAAAGCAUAGUGUCAGCUACGGAUAUUAAGUUCCUUAGUCACUUCUGGAGAGUCUUGCGGAGUAAGUUAGGCACGAAACUACUAUUUUCUACAACUUCUCAUCCACAAACAGAUGGCCAAACUAAAGUAGUGAAUAGGACUAUGACACAACUUUUGCACACCGUAGUUAAUAAAAAAAUGAAGAAUUGGGAAGAGUGCUUACCUUUCAUCGAAUUUGCAUAUAAUAGGGCCACACACUCCGCCACGUCGUUUUCUCCUUUUGAAAUUGUUUACGAUUUUAAUCCUAUAAUACAUAUGGAUUUAAUACCUUUUCCUAUUAAUGAACGAGGUAGCUUGGAUAGAAAAAGAAAAGGCCGAGUUGGUGAAGUCACUCCAUGAAAAGGUACGGGAACAAAUUGAGAAGAAAAGCAAGCCCUAUGCGGAGCAAGCAAAUAAGGGCACGAAAAAUGUUCGCAUUCGAACUAGGAGAUUGGGUUUGGAUGCACUUCAGAAAAGAGCUGUUCCCAGAGCAAAGAAAAUCAAAGUUGUUACCACGGGGAGAUGGACCGUUUCAAGUAGUUGAGAAGAUUAAUUACAAUGCAUACAAAUUGGAUCGUCCAGGUGAGUAUAACGUUUCGGCAACUUCUAAUAUAUCUGAUCUUUUUCUCUUUGCUGCAAGUUCAGAUUUGAGGACGAAUCCUUUCGAAGAGAGAGGGGAUGAUGUGAUCUAGGAGCCGCAAGCAACCAAAUCAAGUCCAACGUCAAGCCCGGGGAAAGAUCCGUUGAAAGUCGAAGGUGGACCUAUGACACGAGCAAGGACAAAGCAAGUGAAAGAGGCGAUAGGAUUACUCGUCAAGACAACCAUCAAUGAAAUCAUGUUCAGGACUCAAAAUGGGACAAGUUUCGUGUUCGGGUCAAAGACCGAAACCAAUUGGACCAACACGAUCCAAGCAGCUGAAGAUGGAGCUGGAGAGAAGAACCAUGCGACCGCAUGCUCAAAACCGUCCUACGGUCGCACGGAGUGAGGCAGGGAAUUAUUCGAGAUUUUCGAAUGUUCCAUGUGGCCGCAUGAUUUUACACCAUGCAACCGCAUUGUUAAAAUUUGACGCAAUUUUUUUUAUUUUAAUUGCGAAUUUUCUAUUUUUGAUAGAAUUUGAUACUUAGUAGAUUUCUUGCCAUAUUUGAAAUAUUAUGCACGUUUUUACCUAGUUUUUUAGACCUAGUAUAAAUACUAUUUUAUUUUCAAUUGUAAGAACCUUUUGACAUUUUUCGUAAUUUGAGAG